GAACGGGUGAGUAACACGUGGAUAACCUGCCUCAAGGCUGGGGAUAACAUUUGGAAACAGAUGCUAAUACCGAAUAAAACUUAGUAUCGCAUGAUAUCAAGUUAAAAGGCGCUACGGCGUCACCUAGAGAUGGAUCCGCGGUGCAUUAGUUAGUUGGUGGGGUAAAGGCUUACCAAGACGAUGAUGCAUAGCCGAGUUGAGAGACUGAUCGGCCACAUUGGGACUGAGACACGGCCCAAACUCCUACGGGAGGCUGCAGUAGGGAAUCUUCCACAAUGGGCGCAAGCCUGAUGGAGCAACGCCGCGUGUGUGAUGAAGGCUUUCGGGUCGUAAAGCACUGUUGUAUGGGAAGAAAUGCUAAAAUAGGGAAUGAUUUUAGUUUGACGGUACCAUACCAGAAAGGGACGGCUAAAUACGUGCCAGCAGCCGCGGUAAUACGUAUGUCCCGAGCGUUAUCCGGAUUUAUUGGGCGUAAAGCGAGCGCAGACGGUUGAUUAAGUCUGAUGUGAAAGCCCGGAGCUCAACUCCGGAAUGGCAUGGGAAACUGGUUAACUUGAGUGUUGUAGAGGUAAGUGGAACUCCAUGUGUAGCGGUGGAAUGCGUAGAUAUAUGGAAGAACACCAGUGGCGAAGGCGGCUUACUGGACAACAACUGACGUUGAGGCUCGAAAGUGUGGGUAGCAAACAGGAUUAGAUACCCUGGUAGUCCACACCGUAAACGAUGAAUACUAGGUGUUAGGAGGUUUCCGCCUCUUAGUGCCGAAG
rnacentral:rRNA from 1 species